AACUUUUAACAACGGAUCUCUUGGCUCUCGCAUCGAUGAAGAACGCAGCGAAAUGCGAUAAGUAAUGUGAAUUGCAGAAUUCAGUGAAUCAUCGGAUCUUUGAACGCACCUUGCACCCUUUGGCAUUCCGAAGGGUAUGCUCGUUUGAGUGUCAUUGUACUCCCACACUCCCGAUGCUUUUGGAUUGGGAGUGGUGGACUUGGGUGUUGCUGCUUUACUGUGGCUCACCUCAAAUGGAGUAGUGCAACUCUUGGUUGGACAUAGUACGGCGUGAUAAGUGUCUUCGCCGGCGCCUCAUUAGAGGGUGGCCGAUCGGGAGCUCUGUGCUUCAAACCGUCUUCGGACAACAUCUGACAACUUGACCUCAAAUCGAGUAGGACUACCCGCUGAACUUAAGCAUAUCAAUAAGCGGAGGCU
rnacentral:misc_RNA from 1 species